GAGAGCAUGGAGACCCUAGUCGUAAAGCUGGGGAAACAGCAUUGGACCGAACCAAGCCCUCUGAAUGUGGACCUCAGGUCCCUGGCUUCUGACUUGUCUCUGCCUUUUGAACCUGUUAACUCCCAAUUCCUCGGGAGCAUUCAGGCUGCUUGGGCAUUUCCCUUCGUUAUCGGUUGGUGGAGCUGCACUGUUUUGUUUGGGUCGGAUCACUUGGGGCUUGGAGAGGAGCUGGUAGUGCUGAGUUCUGAGAAAAAUGGUUAGAAUUUCAUUUAAAGCAUCUCUGGAACCACCCUAUCACUUCUUAGAACCUUUUAAGACAUAACUCAAGAGAAACCAAAUGGUCUUCUAUGUAGCUGAUAGUAAGAAGCUCUGAGAAGAUCACACCCACACUUAAGUGUGUCUUUUUUUCUGAACAUCUCUCCUUCUUUAACACUUGUGUUUAAAGAUCUUUAAUAAAAUGUCUAACUGUGAUUCAUACUGGCUUAUCUUGAAAUUCUUUCCUGCAGUGAAGUCACAAAUCCUAGUUAGACUUGAGUUGCAGUCCCUAAAAGAGUGGGCAACUCCUAGGGAUCUUGUUCGGGUUCAUUUAUCUCUGAUUCUAUCUGUGGGGCUUGAGACUUUUCUUAAUUCCUUAACUAGCAGAGAAAACAAACCCAAUCAAGAUUCCUAGAGUGUAUCAAAAGGGAAGCCCAUUGAUGGCUCUAUGAUCACAAAGAGUUAAAAAAAGGACAGUGAUUGUAAGAGAAUAUGUAUGUCAGCUAAAGUCAGAAAAAUCUUUACAACUCUAUUGUUCCUUAGGAGAUAUGGAAUAUCUUCAUGUUGCUUAUUUCAUCUAAUAUUAUUUGCAACCUAGUGAGGUUAGUAGGACAAGUGAGAAACUGUGAC
rnacentral:lncRNA from 1 species